UUUCCGUAGGGUAAGUUUUUCUCUUCCAACUUUUUAAGAGAAUGAUACUAACAUUUAACAGUGAACCUGCGGAAGGAUCAUUAAAGAUUUGUACUCUGUACAUUUCCAACCCUUUGUUAACUUAUCCUGUUGCUUUGACCGAAUGUUUGUUUAACUUUUGUCUAAACAAACUUAAAGUCGGUCAAAGAAUUUUAAACUCGAUUAAUUGUCAUCUGAGAAUAAACAAAAAAUUAAAACUUUCAACAACGGAUCUCUUGGUUCUGGCAUCGAUGAAGAACGCAGC
rnacentral:misc_RNA from 1 species